UACGUGGGGCGCAAGCGUUGUCCGGAUUUAUUGGGCGUAAAGAGCUCGUAGGCGGUCCGUCACGUCGGCUGUGAAAACCCGAGGCUCAACCUCGGGCCUGCAGUCGAUACGGGCAGACUAGAGUGCGGUAGGGGAGACUGGAAUUCCUGGUGUAGCGGUGAAAUGCGCAGAUAUCAGGAGGAACACCGGUGGCGAAAGGCGGGUCUCUGGGCCGUAACUGACGCUGGAGGAGCGAAAAGCGUGGGGAGCGAACAGG
rnacentral:rRNA from 1 species